GACGAACGCUGGCGGCGUGCUUCACACAUGCAAGUCGAACGGAAAGGCCCUGCUUUUGUGGGGUGCUCGAGUGGCGAACGGGUGAGUAACACGUGAGUAACCUGCCCUUGACUUUGGGAUAACUUCAGGAAACUGGGGCUAAUACCGGAUAGGAGCUCCUGCUGCAUGGUGGGGGUUGGAAAGUUUCGGCGGUUGGGGAUGGACUCGCGGCUUAUCAGCUUGUUGGUGGGGUAGUGGCUUACCAAGGCUUUGACGGGUAGCCGGCCUGAGAGGGUGACCGGCCACAUUGGGACUGAGAUACGGCCCAGACUCCUACGGGAGGCAGCAGUGGGGAAUAGUGCACAAUGGGCGGAAGCCUGAUGCAGCAACGCCGCGUGCGGGAUGACGGCCUUCGGGUUGUAAACCGCUUUCGCCUGUGACGAAGCGUGAGUGACGGUAAUGGGUAAAGAAGCACCGGCUAACUACGUG
rnacentral:rRNA from 1 species